rnacentral:rRNA from 1 species
UACGUAGGGCGCAAGCGUGUCCGGAAUUAUUGGGCGUAAAGGGCGCGCAGGCGGUGGCGCAAGUCUGCUGUGAAAUCUCCCUGGCUCAACCGGGAGGGGCGGCGGAGACUGCGUGACUGGAGGACCUAGAGGCCGGUGGAAUUCCGGUGUAGUGGUGAAAUGCGUAGAGAUCGGGAGGAACACCUGUGGCGAAGGCGGCCGGGCUGGGGUCGCCCUGACGCUGAGCGCGAAAGCGUGGGGAGCAAACAGG